rnacentral:lncRNA from 1 species
CUACUGCUGAUAGCACUAAUGUUACUCACCCAUUACCACUGUAUUCCUACAGAUACUGCUGCUGAUACUACUAGCAAUAGUUUUCUAUUGUGACUAGUUUCUCUGAAAGUAUUUAUGAUAAGAACACUACUUUUGCUACAGUAACCUCUCCUCCUACAGUAACCACUUCUCCAACUGCCAGCCUUGGUAAUGAUGCUCUGAUUACAAAUUAUCCUUCCCCUACAACACCUGGGGACAAUAGUACUAGUAAUGCUUUUUCUACAAUGACUACUUACCCUUCAUAAACUCUUGCCGUUUGCACUAAUACUCCUUCUCCUGUGACUACUUUUUUUCUGUAUGUAGGGGGGCUGCCAGCAAUGGUAAUAUAAUUCCUGAUGAGUACUCUUUCUUCUCCAAGUACUGAUGCUAUUAGUACUUAUUUAUGAGAUAAUACUAGAUUGUUGCUGUUCCUUCUAAUGGUUGAAUUAACUUACAAAGUGCUAACUCUUCUACAGACCAGAAAUCACCCAGACAGAGAUAAGUGUGUAAAGAUAUGACAUAGGGGAGACAAUCUCUACCCUGGGAUCAGAGUUCAUAGUUUUGUUUGCUUUGUCUUCUACUUACCAGCUUUUCCCUUCUUGUUUUACUAUCUAGACUCUCCUUCAGUGUGCUAAGACUUUCAGCAUGUUCUUGGACUUUCAUACCCACAAUCACCAUUUAUUCCUGGUCUAUUAUUUUCUAAGAUCACCCCUGUGCAUAGGCUCAUGGUCAUAACCAAAUAUUGCCAUUUAGGUGCUAUUGAAGGCUUAACCCUAGGACAGUA